CGAGCUGGCAGUGCGUGUGACCCUUAGAGGCCAGUGAUGAUUCAUGAAGGAGGAAGAUCGUGUCAAGAUCCUUGUUCUCGAGAUGCUAAACAAAAUACCCAGAUCCCCAAGAUCGCGUCACGUUGCCAGCCCAUCCCAUCCCCGCGCUGUUACUCGUACUCCGGCUGCAUUCACGUUACAGCGGAGCAAUCUGAUGGAGACAUCAGCUCGUACAACAGGAGUGCUCAGGAUCAGCCGAGGGCUUGGACAUUCCUGCCACAAAGAAACUGCAGCCAACUCUCUGUCGCUGAGCCAAAGGGAAAGCAGCAUAUGCAUCUUCGGAUGCACUGGACGAGGACAAUUAUUUGCAGUGACCCAAACAAACAUGCCAGCAUCACGUAUUCCUUCUGUACAUUGUGCCAGCAGCGACGAACUCUUUUGAUUUAGAAACAGCACCAAGGUGGGAUAUUGCUAUGGUGGGAUGUGCUCCCGUCCCCUCAGGGCUUCCACGCACCUUCCUGACACAGGGACGUGGUGAUGACUCCCUGGCAGAAACUCUCGCCUGACAAAUUCUUCAUGUACACUACUUCCCUGCCGUUGCAGCCUGGCUGCAUUUAAAUGGACAACGCCGGCUACCUUGGGCGCUUAGUUGCCUUCCUUGCGCAGAAAAGGACGAAUGGGAGGGGCGGGGGGGAAGGGGAGAUGCUCUUGGGAAUAUGGAACGUAACAAAGUUUUGGUUUUUUUUUUUUUUUUCCCCAAAAACCUGCCCUGAUUGCUAAGCAGUAGCCAUACUGCUCACAAAACCCCAGUAUCUAAAACAAAGGAGCAGUGAGGUGUACAGCGGGAAAAGACAGCCCACUGGCUGUACCCAAAAUGCACAUUCCUGCAGGGAAACGGCGCUGUCACGCACAGAAGCG
rnacentral:lncRNA from 1 species